rnacentral:rRNA from 1 species
GGUAGAGCACUGUUUGGACUAGGGGCCCGUCAGGGGUUACUGAAUCCAGAUAAACUCCGAAUUCCAUAUAUCUAUACGCGGGAGUCAGACUGCGAGUGAUAAGAUCCGUAGUCGAAAGGGAAACAGCCCAGAUCACCGGUUAAGGUCCCCAAAUCUAUGCUAAGUGGAAAAGGAUGUGGAGUUGCGUAGACAACUAGGACGUUGGCUUAGAAGCAGCCAUCAUUCAAAGAGUGCGUAAUAGCUCACUAG